UACGUAGGGUGCGAGCGUUAAUCGGAAUUACUGCGCGUAAAGCGUGCGCAGGCGGUUUUGUAAGCCAGAUGUGAAAUCCCCGGGCUUAACCUGGGAAUGGCAUUUGGGACUGCAAGGCUGGAGUGCGGCAGAGGAGACUGGAAUUCCUGGUGUAGCAGUGAAAUGCGUAGAUAUCAGGAGGAAUACCGAUGGCGAAGGCAGGUCUCUGGGCUGACACUGACGCUCAUGCACGAAAGCGUGGGGAGCAAACAGG
rnacentral:rRNA from 1 species